UACAGAGGGGGCAAGCGUUGUUCGGAAUUACUGGGCGUAAAGGGCGCGUAGGCGGCCUUCUAAGUCGAACGUGAAAUCCCUGGGCUCAACCCAGGAACUGCGUCCGAGACUGAAAGGCUUGAAUCCGGGAGAGGGAUGUGGAAUUCCAAGUGUAGCGGUGAAAUGCGUAGAGAUUUGGAGGAACACCAGUGGCGAAGGCGACUGUCUGGUCUGUAACUGACACUGAGGCGCGAAAGCGUGGGGAGCAAACAGGG
rnacentral:rRNA from 1 species